AGCGGGAUGACGUCAAGUCAGCAUGACCCUUUAUAUCCAGGGCUACAAACGUGCUACAAUGGCCGGUACAAAGGGCUGCAAUACCGCGAGGUGGAGCGAAUCCCAAAAAGCCGGUCCCAGUUCGGAUUGGAGUCUGCAACUCGACUCCAUGAAGUUGGAAUCGCUAGUAAUCGCGGAUCAGCACGCCGCGGUGAAUACGUUCCCGGGCCUU
rnacentral:rRNA from 1 species